GAAAUGCGAUAAGUAAUGUGAAUUGCAGAAUUCAGUGAAUCAUCGAGUCUUUGAACGCACAUUUCGCCCCCUGGUAUUCCAGGGGGCAUGCCUGUCCGAGCGUCAUUGCUGCCCUCAAGCACGGCUUGUGUGUUGGGCCCCCGUCCCCGGGGGAAACCGGGGACGGGCCCGAAAGGCAGCGGCGACACCGCGUCCGGUCCUCGAGCGUAUGGGGCUUUGUCACCCGCUCUGUAGGCCCGGCCGGCGCCAGCCGACACCUAACUUUAUUUCUAAGGUUGACCUCGGAUCAGGUAGGGAUACCCGCUGAACUUAA
rnacentral:misc_RNA from 1 species